CACGUAGGGCGCAAGCGUUGUCCGGAAUUAUUGGGCGUAAAGAGCUCGUAGGCGGUCUGUUGCGUCCGCUGUGAAAACCCGGGGCUUAACCCCUGGCUUGCAGUGGAUACGGACAGACUAGAGGUAGGUAGGGGAGAAUGGAAUUCCCGGUGUAGCGGUGAAAUGCGCAGAUAUCGGGAGGAACACCAGUGGCGAAGGCGGUUCUCUGGGCCUUACCUGACGCUGAGGAGCGAAAGCGUGGGGAGCGAACAGG
rnacentral:rRNA from 1 species